rnacentral:rRNA from 1 species
CGACAACAAGUCCAGACCGUGCAAGGCCAGCAAGGGCACGUGAAGCAGGAGGACGUCCUACUCGACGACGGCGGCAACGAACAACGGCGUUCCUCGCCGCCCUCGACCCCAGCAUAUCGAGCGCGUGGUGGUGUGCAGUUCAAGUCUGGGAGCACCAUACUGUUCUAGUGCUGUUGCUUCUAUAAUUACUCUGAAAUUUUCCAAAAAAGCAAGUUUAAUACUCCAAAAAGGGAAAAACAAACAAACCAUAGAUCUUAUCUCUAGGUUGCUUAACCCU